CAACUUCUGGGCAAGGCAGAGGUGGGUUUGGCUUUUUAAAAAUUUUUUCAGCCUGUCCUCAUGGAACUACAUAUUCUUUUCUAAGAACUUUUCAUCCUAACCUCCCUACUCACAUCUUCUAAGUGUCUCUGCUCUGGUGGGAAUGUGAUGGACAACACAGAGCCAUCUCAGAAGCCUCUGUGGCCACCACCAGGCCGGCCAGGGUGCAGGGGGCCACUCCCUGGGCAGCCAUAGGGUUCUCAGCAAGGUGCAUUCGUCGUCCCUGCUGAGAAUCUGAUGGGGCAGCAUUUUUUUUUUUAAUUAAAUGCAAGCUGAGUCAUUUCAACCUGCAACCUUCAGGUAACAGGAGUUACCCAAGCUCCAGGAAUUAUGAUUGUGGGGUAAACCCAUUCUCUUGUUUUCUUGCGGUUCUAUUUUAUAACGCACUAGAGGAGACAGAGACGUCAUUGCUUCACCCAGGGCAAGAGGACAAAGGAGGAUGCAUGGAAAUACAAACAGCCCUUCUCCUCCAGGCCAUACCGACUGUCCAACUAGCAACAGACUUCACCUGGUUUUGGAGCAAUCUGAAUUUGGAAUAUGCCAGAGAAAACUUCUAUCAGGCAAGAUGGAAGACUCCUAGGAUAGGUCUCUCUCAUGGAGGGAUUGGGCACGAUGGUAAGAGUCCAGUGGAUGGAAAAGGCCUCCUCCUUAAAGAUGGUGAUGGAAACGAGCACUGCACAGGGAAACACAAAUCAGGUCCCCUGAAAUCCAGCCCAACCUGGCCAGACCCUCCAGUGCCCAUCAGGGCUUAUGAACAGGGUGCUUCAGUGUCUUUGUUAGGGGUGGUUAAAAAGGAGCACGUGCUUAUAGGGGAUGCUGCUGAGCUCCAUGAUUUUGACUUCCUGUCUAACCUGUUGAUGCUACAAAACUCUUUUAAAAACAGUUACCAUGGGAACUUUUCCCUAGCAAGCAUUCUUCAAGAAACGUUACAGGUGCUGGUGAAUUCAAUGCCCUUGGUGUCAAUAAGCUUUUGCUGAGUCUUAGAAUGUGUGGCUUGAACUGAGAGGACUUUCAAACAGAUAAUGCGAAGUUUCCAAUGCAAAUGUCUUCGGGGUUAAGUGUCAGUGAAGUGCAGUGGAAGGUAGGGGGAUAAAAUGAUCUCAGUGUAUAUGGAGGCCCCACUUAAGCAUUCAAAAAAUUCUAUAUACAGUGUUUUCAAUGUAUUAUGUAUCAGCAAAACAAAAUACCCCAUAGGGCUAUAAUCAGCUCAGGGGGUCACCUCAGCAAGAGAUGCUCUGGCUAUCACUCCUACUACGGGAUUUCCUCUCUCAUCAGAACCAGUAGGUGGUCAAAACCACAAUAAUGCAUAAAUGAAGGCAGGGAAUUGGGUAUCCAAUGUGAGCAACUGAAAAGGUGCCAUGUAUUAGCUAUUUGCCAUUAUGGUUCUGCAAGUGCUCAGAUGACUCAUAAAAUGACCAGAACAAAAG
rnacentral:lncRNA from 1 species